UAAGAAUAUUGCAAUAUAAAUAGAACAAAAACGACAAUACAAUAUAAAAAGGUUUAUUGACUACAAAAAUAAUUUAAUAAUUUUCUUAAAAAGGAACAGUUAUUAUCUCUCCAUUAAUACGUGAUUGCUGGUAUACAUGCAUUUUGAAACAUUUCUAUUUAAUUCAAGUUUGUAUCCAAAACUUUUCUGUACCUGUUGUAAAUUUAAUGUCAAUGAAUUUUCUAAUAUUGCAGGGCAGAAUACUUCAAAAAUUACUUUUAAUAUUUUUACUCACGGUCUAUUUUUCAUAACAGUAUCAAUUUUUUAAUACAUGUUUACUAUAAAGAAAAACCAUAUUCAUUAAAUAUAAUUAAAUCUCCAUGCUGAAGCAUCAAGUAUACUGAAUUUGAAUAAGUAUGUCAUGUAUAUUACUCUUUAUCUUGACAUUAACAUUUUGCUAAGUAAACUAUUUCAUUUUCAGGUUUUCUAUAUUUAUAAAAAUUCACUAGCAAGUUUAUACCUCAGUGAUAAUAUAGACUCCUGUUUAUAAAUAUGUAAAUUAUAGCAUAAUUAUAUAUAAACGUAAUUUAACUCUAGUGUGAUUAUAUACCUUUCACAUGCUCACUGUAAUUCAAGAGCAUGUGCCAGGUAAUUAUCAUCACUACUACUAUUUUUAUUAUCAUACAAACUUUUUUAUCACACAUUAAAUAUUAAUGUGUAAUCAAGAAAAAUAAAUGUUCCAGAGAUUGAAAACUAAUUUAGUUUUUAUAUUUACAAAUAAGUGUAUUGCCUAUGUAUUGAAGCGUUUUUUGUGUUAUGUAUUAUUUAUAUCUGGACUAUUCUAAAUAUUAAUUCUUAUUUAAUAUUCAUAAAUAUAUAACAAGUAUUUGAUUUUAUUAAUCAUUAAACAGAAAAGAGAUUUGGGUACGAAUUUGAAUAAAAUUCGAAGAAUUUAAAUUUGGCCUAUAUCUCCGGAAGUUUCUUUUUCUUCUUGUGAUGAUCAUUUAUUACAGGUAGAACUGCAUAUAGUGUGCAUGUUAUUGUAAGUAAUGAUGGAUGAUUGAGAUUAUUAUACUAAUAUACUCGAAUUCACACGGAUUACAGUACAGGAAGAGUUCUAAUGUUACAUUUCUUCUGCAAAUUAUAAAUUCGCAUUUUAGGGUGCUGUAAUAUCUUCAAUAUAAUGAUGCAUAGUACUGCAGUUUUUACAAAAAAUGGUCAUACAUUAUCCAUACAUACUGAUCAAAAACCAAUUAAAAUAAUCAGUGCUAUUCAUCUGUCAAUUUGUGACAUAACUAAAGUAUUGUAAUGAUUAUAUAAUAAAAUAAAUAAUUAAAAGUGA